GUUCCAGCCCCAUCAGCCCAUCCCUGCUCCCAGGGGCCCUGACGCUGUCGGGCAAGGGGCAGAAAAACCCCAGCCACUUCCUCCUGGUCCCUCAGCACAGCCGGCGCCAAGCCUGCUUUUGGGUCAACAACCCAGGAGUAAGGGAACCAGCAGAAUGACAAAGUUGCUUCAAAGGAGAAUGCAGACCAACUGACUGUAUAUACACCCUGUGAAAAAGGAGAAAAGGAAACGCUUGGGAUAAGACUGAUAAAUCAGACAGAGAACUGGUUAAGGUGCGGGGCCUGGCAGAGGUCAUCUGCAUUUUUACAGGAUAAGAUCAUUUACAUCACCAUUGGAAAAAAAAACCCCUGCAUCUUAUUAAUAACAAAGAUCAUGCUUAGUUUUCUAC